UAAUUCUUCUUUUCAGUGUAAAUGAAAUGCUAUAAGCUUUAAAAGAAACUCUUAAUACACC
rnacentral:tRNA from 1 species